AUUGAACGCUGGCGGCAGGCUUAACACAUGCAAGUCGAGCGGAGUGAUGGUGCUUGCACUAUCACUUAGCGGCGGACGGGUGAGUAAUGCUUAGGAAUCUGCCAUUUAGUGGGGGACAACAUUCCGAAAGGAAUGCUAAUACCGCAUACGUCCUACGAGAGAAAGCAGGGGAUCUUCGGACCUUGCGCUAAAUGAUGAGCCUAAGUCGGAUUAGCUAGUUGGUGGGGUAAAGGCCUACCAAGGCGACGAUCUGUAGCGGGUCUGAGAGGAUGAUCCGCCACACUGGGACUGAGACACGGCCCAGACUCCUACGGGAGGCAGCAGUGGGGAAUAUUGGACAAUGGGCGGAAGCCUGAUCCAGCCAUGCCGCGUGUGUGAAGAAGGCCUUCUGGUUGUAAAGCACUUUAAGCGAGGAGGAGGCUACUAGUACUAAUACUACUGGAUAGUGGACGUUACUCGCAGAAUAAGCACCGGCUAACUCUGUGCCAGCAGCCGCCGUAAGAC
rnacentral:rRNA from 1 species